rnacentral:lncRNA from 10 species
UUUAUGAAGGACCAGUUCUCUGGAGAUAAUGUCACAUUUAUCCCAAUAAUCUUUAGAUGUUUAUACCUUAAAAGUUACUCAGCUGAAGUUGCUUUCAAAUUAAACACCAUUGCUGCAGUGUUUCUGUUGUGAUUGUCGGAGGGAAGUGGAGCCAGUGCAAUUUGUCCAUGUUUUACAAAUCACCAUCUGGCAGGGAUAUGGCAACAUGUGAAAUCUUCACAGGACUCUUGUUUUUCUACUAUCUGCUGGAUAACUAAGGAGAUCACCAGACUGCUGGGACGCCUGCCAGAUAGUAAGCAGGAUAUGGAUUGGAGCUGCUUGGGCAGAAACCACAUGGACAAAGGUUGCUUAAAAAUGAAGCUAACACAGAGAAAGGCAAAGAAAGACGAGAGACGAUGACAGCAACUGAGCCCUGUGAUCUGGUCAUGCUUAAAGCUAGGAAGUUCCUGAAAUUGCCAUUUAUUUGAAACAAAAACACCCCCUUCCUUUUUAUGAUCAAACAUAUUCAGAUUGUGUUUCUGUCACUUAUAACCAAAAGAGCCCAGUAUCACCUCACAGAAACAAUGUGUGGGAAGAGCUCAAGGUAAUACCUGCAAUUAGUAAGGACCCAGUGAAUGUUGGCUGCUUUCCUCCUCCUUUUUUUUUUGUAAUUGCUAUUGUCAAGUUUCCACACAAAAAUUGGGGAUCUUUGGAUAAAAAAGGACGAAGAGAAGAAAUUACCAUGUGACAGUUUCCCCAUACAAGGCACAAGCAGAGAACAAGGGGACAAAUUUUAAGGAUCCAUAAGUAUCCCGCCCUAUAAUGUAAGAAGCAAGAAUGGUUCCAGAGGAACUGUUGUGAGCCACUGCAUCAAUCAUAGGAACAUUAAAACACUGCUUGCUAGUCAUUACUAUAUGAAGUAUUCUCUUGCUCUGUGGAAAAUGGUUUCAAAUAAUUGUGUCUGAAUGAGAGUUUUGUUCUUGUUUCAUAUAGCCAUUUGAGAGAGGAAAAAAUGUAGAAAAGAAGAUAGAUUAAAAAAACAAUAUUAACAAAGUUGCAUCAACUAAUUGCCAUCAAAUGGUAUCAUCAUCUUUGUACAGGGUGUACAUAUUGUAGGCUCAUAGGCUUAAGAGGCAGACUGACAUCCCAAUAAGAUAGUUGCCAAAAUGAUGUACAAUAGUAACAAGAAAGGCACAAGAAUCUGGCCCACCUAAGCAAAGAAAAGUCUCCUCUCACUUCAAAAAUCUAUUAUUU